rnacentral:rRNA from 1 species
CCAGAGAACUUAGCAGAGAUGCUUUGGUGCCUUCGGGAACUCUGAGACAGGUGCUGCAUGGCUGUCGUCAGCUCGUGUUGUGAAAUGUUGGGUUAAGUCCCGCAACGAGCGCAACCCUUAUCCUUUGUUGCCAGCGGCUCGGCCGGGAACUCAAAGGAGACUGCCGGUGAUAACCGGAGGAAGGUGGGGAUGACGUCAAGUCAUCAUGGCCCUUACGGCCAGGGCUACACACGUGCUACAAUGGCGCAUACAAAGAGAAGCGACCUCGCGAGAGCAAGCGGACCUCAUAAAGUGCGUCGUAGUCCGGAUUGGAGUCUGCAACUCGACUCCAUGAAGUCGGAAUCGCUAGUAAUCGUAGAUCAGAAUGCUACGGUGAAUACGUUCCCGGGCCUUGUACACACCGCCCGUCACACCAUGGGAGUGGGUUGCAAAAGAAGUAGGUAGCUUAACCUUCGGGAGGGCGCUUACCACUUUGUGAUUCAUGACUGGGGUGAAGUCGUAACAAGGUAAGCGUAGCGAG